UCUUCUUUCUCCAUCACUUUCUCUUUCGCUCGUCUCUGGUUUCCAUCGCUCUCUUCAUCUCCAUCUCUCUUCUCCAUCUCCAUCCCUCUCUUCAUCUCCUUCCUUUCUCUAUUGCUAUGUUCUCCUAUCAGCUCUUCAUCUCAUUCGGUCAGUUUUCCUAUCCGUUCUUCUCCAUCACUUUCUUCAUCUCCAUCGCGCUCUUUCGCUCUCUUCUCCCCGUCAACAAACCAAACCCUACCCUAACCUAACCAUGAAAUCAUAAAGAGUCCAGCCUGUCAUUUCAAAGCUUAAAAUCUCACGGAUGAACAAAAGAGAGAAGUGAAUAGAGUGACCGCUGUGGAUUUUCCGAAAUUUCGUCGCUACCUCCGCCAUAGUCUUCGCCAGAGCAGUCUUUCAUACUUGGUGUAGUGUUGGCUGUUUUCCUGAUUGGCUGCUAUGAGAAUGGGUGAAGUGGUUUUGAGCCGUGAAGAAGUAAUGGAAAUGGAGUUGGAGACAGAGAGAACGAGACUAAAAGGAUGGCUCGUCUGAGGUGGUUAGGUGGGAAAGAUUUGAGGUGGAGUUGCAGUGAACAUGGAUAAACCAUUACUAAUGAAAUUUCGACAUCUGAAUCUGAAAAGGAAGCUGGCAUUUUUUUACAUGGAUUUGCCUACUUUAGAUGCCUUUGGACAAAAUUUUUCUUUCUCCGAGCUGCUAGUUGAUUUUGAUCUCGACUGCGAAGGAAUUGGUUAUCCUUGCCAGCCAACUGUGGAUACUUGUGCUUCUAUGGACAAUAUUUCAAGGUCAUCUCAUGAAUCUGGGGAUGCCAAUCUGGAGCUGAUCAAGUUGUGUCAGAAUAUUCAUCUACACUGACAGAAGUUCUUUCAGGAAAAGACAUGAAUGUUGAAGAAAAGGUCGCAGGAGUUCUUUGGAUUAGAAAAUUUUUUCAGCAAGAAACUAAUUCUUUUUGAGGAUUAAGAUGACUUAAUGCUGACACGGUACCAGUACAGUACUUACAGCAAAGAUGCUUGACUGUGAUCUUAAUUCUUAAGCAUCUGCCUAUUUACUAUUUCU